rnacentral:rRNA from 1 species
AGCGAACGCUGGCGGCAGGCCUAACACAUGCAAGUCGAACGAACUCUUCGGAGUUAGUGGCGGACGGGUGAGUAACACGUUGGAACGUGCCUUUUGUUUCGGAAUAACUCAGGGAAACUUGUGCUAAUACCGAAUGUGCCCUUCGGGGUAAAGAUUUAUCGCCAUUAGAGCGGCCCGCGUCUGAUUAGCUAGUUGGUGAGGUAACGGCUCACCAAGGCGACGAUCAGUAGCUGGUCUGAGAGGAUGACCAGCCACACUGGGACUGAGACACGGCCCAGACACGUACGGGAGGCAGCAGUGGGGAAUCUUGCGCAAUGGGCGAAAGCCUGACGAAGCCAUGCCGCGUGAAUUAUGAAGGUCUUAGGAGUGUAAAAUUCUUUCUACGUGGACGAUAAUGACGGUACCAGGAGAAGAAGCCCCGGCUAACUUCGUG